AAUCAACGCUGGCGGCGUGCAUAACACAUGCAAGUCAAGGGGGUCAGUAGCAAUACUGGCAACCGGCGAACGGGUGCGUAACACGUAAGCGACCUACCUCAAUGUGGGGCAUAGCCGGCCUAACGGCCGGGUAAUUCCGCAUGUGAUCUUGGAGGGGCAUCUCUCCGGGAUGAAACCAGUAAUGGGCAUUGAGAGGGGCUUGCGGCCUAUCAGCUUGUUGGGAGGUAACGGCUCACCAAGGCUACGACGGGUAGCUGGUCUGAGAGGAUGGCCAGCCACAUUGGGACUGAGAAACGGCCCAGACUCCUACGGGAGGCAGCAGUGGGGAAUCUUGCGCAAUGGCCGAAAGGCUGACGCAGCGACGCCGCGUGU
rnacentral:rRNA from 1 species